AACGUAGGUGGCGAGCGUUAUCCGGAUUUACUGGGUCGUAAGCGUGUGUCAGGUGGCCUGUUAAGUGGUGUGAUGAAAUCGCCCCGGCUCAACCGGGCGGGGUUAUGACCAGACUGGCAGGCUAGAGGGUGGGAGAGGGAUGUGGAAUUCCGGGUGUAGUGGUGAAAUGCGUAGAGAAUCCGGAGGAACCCCAGAGGCGAAGGCGGCAUCCUGGCCCACGACUGACACUCAGACACGACACAUGGGGAGCGAA
rnacentral:rRNA from 1 species